rnacentral:misc_RNA from 1 species
GAUGAAGAACGUAGCGAAAUGCGAUAAGUAGUGUGAAUUGCAGAAUUCAGUGAAUCAUCGAGUCUUUGAACGCACAUUGCGCCCCCUGGUAUUCCGGGGGGCAUGCCUGACCGAGCGUCAUUGCUGCCCUCAAGCACGGCUUGUGUGUUGGGCCUCCGUCCUCCUCCCGGGGGACGGGCCCGAAAGGCAGCGGCGGCACCGCGUCCGGUCCUCGAGCGUAUGGGGCUUCGUCACCCGCUCUUGUAGGCCCGGCCGGCGCUUGCCGACACAUCAAUCUUUUUUCCAGGUUGACCUCGGAUCAGGUAGGGAUACCCGCUGAACUUAAGCAUAUCAAUAAGCGGAGGA